rnacentral:rRNA from 1 species
CCUACGGGAGGCAGCAGUGAGGAAUAUUGGUCAAUGGACGAGAGUCUGAACCAGCCAAGUAGCGUGAAGGAUGACUGCCCUAUGGGUUGUAAACUUCUUUUAUAUGGGAAUAAAAUGUUCCACGUGUGGGAUUUUGUAUGUACCAUAUGAAUAAGGAUCGGCUAACUCCGUGCCAGCAGCCGCGGUAAUACGGAGGAUCCGAGCGUUAUCCGGAUUUAUUGGGUUUAAAGGGAGCGUAGGUGGAUUGUUAAGUCAGUUGUGAAAGUUUGCGGCUCAACCGUAAAAUUGCAGUUGAAACUGGCAGUCUUGAGUACAGUAGAGGUGGGCGGAAUUCGUGGUGUAGCGGUGAAAUGCUUAGAUAUCACGAAGAACUCCGAUUGCGAAGGCAGUUCACUGGACUGCAACUGACACUGAGGCUCGAAAGUGUGGGUAUCAAACAGGAUUAGAUACCCCUGUAGCC